AUCCGCGCCCCUAUCCGGCGCGGGCCGCUGCGGAAACGCAGCUCUCCACCCCCAGCUGGCUCUCCCGGACCCCCUGGGCCCCACCCUCAGCGCUCCCCACCGCUCGGCGCCCCUGCGUCUGCGCUCCCCUCUCUCCCCUCUCUAUCCACUGGGUCUGGGCCGCACUUCCCGCCCACCCGCCUGCCAGCGGCCGGGAAGCCUGUGGAAGUUAUGGGGAUGCAGGGAGAGGGGGAGAGGGGAGCUUGUGUGCUAGGGGACCAGCCAUUUGAGUCAAGCUGGAGACGACGUCUUAGAACCUAGGAUGAGUCUCGUUUGGUUUUAGUCUGCAAAGCUCGUCUGCAUCAGACAGGAAUUUUCCCCAGACGCGGGUGCACGUGAAUUAAUUCAUCAGAAGGCGGUUCACGGCCUGAGUGAGGGGGACGAGGGCGGCGAAUUCCUCCGCCUCAUUCCUACCCUGACGAUUCGAGCCUUAGCAAGUUCUGGCCUGUGGAGCCGUCAUCCAGAGCGCACAGCUUCAUGCCCUUGAAGGGCGCAGUGUGUCCCGUGGUGCCCGGUGGGCCCGGACAGAGACCCCAGAGGCUCUGUCUGAAGGAAGCUGCACCCACAGACUCCAUCCAGGCAGCGCGGGCGCGGUCCUGUCGCCUACCUUUCUCGGAAGCCAUCUGCCCAUGUGAAUCUAUGUGAAGGCCCUUCAUGCGCUCCUGGACAUCUGCGUGGGAUUUACUUCAACUGCUAUCGCUGCGAGGAGGACGAGCAUGUUUCACUGUAUUUUUAGCAGAGAGUGCAGAUUUUAGAACCUCGCGAACGGUCCUGUAUCUCCUGCACGAUGACUCUCCAGAACAGGAAUAGUGACCCUUCCUUUGCAUUUAUGGUGCAUAGGUUUUCAAAGGACAGUGUGUAAAUCAGCUUGUGUAAUAAUUGUGGCACCCACGCGCGCAAGCAGACUUACCAUGAGCUGACUUCCACUGAUUAUUUCAGUUUCCAGGGAAACGAGGUUUGCAGCCCCCUCCAGUGAGGGCGGAGCGGCCUCUCCAUUCCCAAUGCAGCAAGGCUGCUGCAGCCACGAUGAUUAGGCUUUGGAGGAGGAAGUGAACGGAUGGGGCCUCAUCCUCCUGCCUCCCUAAAGGGUGAGGGUGGAAGGAUGGGGCUGUGCCCUCUUAGGGCAGGGAAAAACAGCUUGGAGGGGUUUCUGCCAUCAGAGAUCCCAUAGGAGGCAGGUCAGUCCUGCAGAAUUUCUCCCCAGUCUGGCCUCCAGCCUCCCUGGCCCCUUUCUAGAGGCCUCCAUCCCACUGGCGGCUUGCUCCUGCCACCGGGCCUCUGCACAG
rnacentral:lncRNA from 10 species